CCUGCUGUGGGUCUAGCUGUCCUGACGAGCAUCACACGGGAGUGAAAGUGCCACAGUCCCCCAGCUAUUGCCUGUGGUCUCUGAGAGCUCCCCUCCAAACCUCCUUCAAGGGUCUCUUGAGGAAACAGCUUCCCCUGAGCCAGCACUGUCAGGCCAUGGCAAGAAGCAUCCACCCCUAAUCAGCAGGAGCAAGAUGUGCCUGGAAAUCACCCAGAAAUCAGUGGUUGUGAGCACAUCGAUGCAGGGAUGCUGAUCCCCUCUCAGUGCAGGAGCAGUGCGGGCUGCGGCCCCAUCCCCGCCGGGCUGUGCCCUGAAACACAGGGAACUCUCCCCAAAUCCCCCCGCAAAGAGCCGCAUCUUCGCAGCACGGCGGAGGCAGCUGC